rnacentral:rRNA from 1 species
GAUGAACGCUGGCGGCGUGCCUAAUACAUGCAAGUCGAGCGAACAGACGAGGAGCUUGCUCCUCUGACGUUAGCGGCGGACGGGUGAGUAACACGUGGAUAACCUACCUAUAAGACUGGGAUAACUGCGGGAAACCGGAGCUAAUACCGGAUAAUAUAUUGAACCGCAUGGUUCAAUAGUGAAAGACGGUUUGGCUGUCACUUAUAGAUGGAUCCGCGCCGCAUUAGCUAGUUGGUAAGGUAACGGCUUACCAAGGCGACGAUGCGUAGCCGACCUGAGAGGGUGAUCGGCCACCCUGGAACUGAGACACGGUCCAGACUCCUACGGGAGGCAGCAGUAGGGAAUCUUCCGCAAUGGGCGAAAGCUUGACGGAGCAACGCCGCGUGAGUGAUGACGGUCUUCGGAUCGUAAAACUCUGUUAUUAGGGAAGAACAAAUGUGUAAGUAACUAUGCACGUCUUGACGGUACCUAAUCAGAAAGCCACGGCUAACUACGUG